rnacentral:piRNA from 1 species
GGGUUUGAAUGUUAGCCAAUGU